rnacentral:misc_RNA from 1 species
GAUGAAGAACGUAGCGAAAUGCGAUAAGUAAUGUGAAUUGCAGAAUUCAGUGAAUCAUCGAAUCUUUGAACGCACAUUGCGCCCCCUGGUAUUCCGGGGGGCAUGCCUGUUCGAGCGUCAUUUCACCACUCAAGCCUCGCUUGGUAUUGGGCAACGCGGUCCGCCGCGUGCCUCAAAUCGACCGGCUGGGUCUUCUGUCCCCUAAGCGUUGUGGAAACUAUUCGCUAAAGGGUGUUCGGGAGGCUACGCCGUAAAACAACCCCAUUUCUAAGGUUGACCUCGGAUCAGGUAGGGAUACCCGCUGAACUUAAGCAUAUCAAUAAGCAGAGGA